ACAGGGGGAGGUCUGGAACCUCCUGCAGUGUGGCAUGUGGACUGUGUGCCCAGCUGCUGCUUGACACUCACUUGGCAAGGCCUUCCCUCUGCCAGGGCUGCCUGCAGGGCCUCUGAACACAGGGCUCUCACCCAAACAAGCAGCCAGAUGGGUCCCCAGUGGCUUGUGAGCCGGCUCCCUGCACAGGAGGAAUGAAGAUGUUUAUAUGUGACGAGACUGAAGCUCGACUUGUCAUCUCUAAGUGCACGUAGCUGUGGAUUCCUAGAACUGGGCAGCCCUGCUCUACAGUGCGACAACAUGAAGGCCAGCAGUCAUUGGACAACAGGGAGAAAGGAGUUCAGCACCUGUGAAGCAAAGCCAAGAAGUGGCACCUGCAGGCUGGCAGAGCUAUCGCUGGUCCUGAAGCUGAGAGACAGUUUCUUAGAGGGAAGUCAGAAGUCGCCCACACAAUCUUCACAGACACCAGCUUUACCAUAACAUUUGAAUACAGUGGCAACUUCCUGUCCCGAAGCCUCGCCUUUUCUGGUACUUCUGCCCGAGCAACUGUAGGGUUCCCAGGAACAUCUUGACCGAGUUCCCCGCUUCCACGACACCACGGUGGCAGGUGCCGAACAUCUCCUGGUCACCUGUGAUGUAUCAAAUCCACAAAUAUCUCUGGAGAAACACCUCUGAAGGGCCAACAGGGAUAGUAGCAAGCAGCGGAAACUGUCCCUGAAGCCAAAUGGAGCCUUCCCUUGGUCACCGUGGCUUUUUGGAUCACCACAUUUUCCUAGUUUUUCUACAAAUCAAUUUUCUUCAAGGAGAAGCGUUUGAAUUUUUAGCUGGUACAAACAAACAAACAAACAAACAAACCAACCAACCAACCACCACCAGCCACUGCAGAGGCUACGGAAGCUCACUCAGUCUAAGGUAGCCAGCUUGUGCCUCCGGCGGCCCGGGAAGGUCACUAUGGGAUAGGAAAAGAGUUCACAAAAGUACCGCCUUGCUGCCCUGAGGUAGUAGGGGAGGGAUGAGGAAGAGAGGUCUUCAUAGAAGAGGAGGCCAGGGGUUGGAGAGAUGGCUCAGUGGUUAAGAGCACUGACUGCUCUUCCAAAGGUCUUGAGUUCAAAUCCCAGCCCAGCAACCACAUCGUGGCUUACAACCAUCUGUAAUGAGAUCUGAUGCCCUCUUCUGGUGUGUCUGAAGACAGCUGCAGUGUACUUACAUAAAAUAAUAAAUAAAUCUUAAAAAAAAAAAAAGAAGAAGAAGAGGCGGCCAUGUGUUGCCUGAAAGACC